UUGCUUCGGCAGCUGAUAUACUAAAAUCGGAACAGUACAGAGAAGAUUAGCAUGGCCCCUGCAUGGGGAUGAUUGACAUGCCAAUUCGUGAAGUGUUCUAUAUUUUU